AGGAACUUGGAGCUGUGACCACCUCUCUCUGUCUCUAUCUGUCUCGUGAACUUGAAGAAAAAAAUGGUAUGAGGAGAUAACAAAUGGAAUUUAGAAUGGCUAUGUAACUUUGGUCUCGGCUCACUGAAACCUCCACCUCUCAAGCGCAGGCCAUCUUCCCACCUCAGCCUCCAGAGUAGCUAGGACUAAAGAUGAUGUCAGCUGAAAAGACUUGAAGACUGGAGAUGAAUCAAAGGCAGGAGUAUCUCCAUGGCUGGGGAAAGAAAUCAUCUGAUGUCAUCUUCAUUCACAUGUUUAGCUGUUGAUACUGCCUGUUGUCAGGACUCUCAGUUGGGGCUGUCCCAUGGAAACUUAUGUAUGGCCUCUCCAUGUAGCCUGGGUUGCCUCACAGCAUGACGGCCUUGGAUAUCUUACCUGGUGCUCAGGGCUCCAAAGGCAAGUAUUCCAAAAGAACCAGGUGAAAGCUGUAUCACCUUUUGUAACCUAGCUUCAGAAUCAGAUAGCAUCACUUCUACCAUACUCAGCAUCACCCAGCAACAAGGGGAGGAACAUAGAUAUCACUUCUUGA